rnacentral:rRNA from 1 species
UGUGUGAUAUUGCACAAUGGGCGAAAGCCUGAUGCAGCGACGCCGCGUGGGGGAUGAAGGCUUUCGGGUUGUAAACCUCUUUCGCUAUCGAACAAGGCCCGCUUAGGGUGGGUUGAGGGUAGGUGGAGAAGAAGCGCCGGCUAACUACGUGCCAGCAGCCGCGGUAAUACGUAGGGCGCGAGCGUUGUCCGGAAUUAUUGGGCGUAAAGGGCUUGUAGGCGGCUUGUUGCGCCUGCUGUGAAAACGCGGGGCUUAACUUCGCGCGUGCAGUGGGUACGGGCAGGCUUGAGUGUGGUAGGGGUGACUGGAAUUCCAGGUGUAGCGGUGGAAUGCGCAGAUAUCUGGAGGAACACCGAUGGCGAAGGCAGGUCACUGGGCCAUUACUGACGCUGAGGAGCGAAAGCAUGGGUAGCGAACAGG